rnacentral:rRNA from 1 species
GAUGAACGCUGGCGGCGUGCCUAAUACAUGCAAGUCGAGCGAACGGACGAGAAGCUUGCUCCUCUGAUGUUAGCGGCGGACGGGUGAGUAACACGUGGAUAACCUACCUAUAAGACUGGGAUAACUUCGGGAAACCGUAGCUAAUACCGGAUAAUAUUUUGAACCGCAUGGUUCAAAAGUGAAAGACGGUCUUGCUGUCACUUAUAGAUGGAUCCGCGCUGCAUUAGCUAGUUGGUAAGGUAACGGCUUACCAAGGCAACGAUGCGUAGCCGACCUGAGAGGGUGAUCGGCCACACUGGAACUGAGACACGGUCCAGACUCCUACGGGAGGCAGCAGUAGGGAAUCUUCCGCAAUGGGCGAAAGCCUGACGGAGCAACGCCGCGUGAGUGAUGAAGGUCUUCGGAUCGUAAAACUCUGUUAUUAGGGAAGAACAGAUGUGUAAGUAACUGUGCACAUCUUGACGGUACCUAAUCAGAAAGCCACGGCUAACUACGUG